rnacentral:misc_RNA from 1 species
GAAGCUUCAGUUACUCUUAAAAAGGUUCUUUUCUUUUUAUUUCUCAGCUCCCUACGGUUACUCAUCACUCACAAGAUUGUUAAGUAAACUAAAAUGUCCGACGAGAAACUUUUUUAUGUAUCGCAUCGCUAAAGCAGCUUAAUAGAGUACUUCCAAUCAACAUUCAGAAAAAAGAAACCAGCUGAGAAUUGGGGAGCGAUAUCAUGAUAUUGACCUAGUCGACUUCUCUUGCAUGUUUCAAUGCAUCCUUGAUAUGACUAUAUUG